GCCCUCGUCGUUCAAUGGAUAGGACGGAGGUUUCCUAAAUCUCUGAUGUAGGUUCGAUUCCUACCGAGGGCACAA
rnacentral:tRNA from 4 species